AGCAGUCGCCGCGGUAAUACAGAGGGUGCGAGCGUUAAUCGGAUUUACUGGGCGUAAAGCGUGCGUAGGCGGCUUCUUAAGUCGGAUGUGAAAUCCCUGAGCUUAACUUAGGAAUUGCAUUCGAUACUGGGAAGCUAGAGUAUGGGAGAGGAUGGUAGAAUUCCAGGUGUAGCGGUGAAAUGCGUAGAGAUCUGGAGGAAUACCGAUGGCGAAGGCAACCAUCUGGCCUAAUACUGACGCUGAGGUACGAAAGCAUGGGGAGCAAACAGGAUUAGAUACCCGUGUAGUCCCUGUCUCUUAUAC
rnacentral:rRNA from 1 species